CAAACAAUAACAGCAACAGCAACACCUCUGGGGGCGGGGGCAGUGGCAGUAACAAUGCGGCACAGCAAAAAUCUAAAUCGAAUUCCAAGCGCUCCAUCGCGGAGACUGUGAACCUCGCCGCCCAGAAGUUCCUGGCAGACUCCUCAAAGAAGUGAAAAAAAAAAAAACGAGACGAUCCAAUCCAGCAUUGCGAUAUAUGGUUGGGCUUUGCUAUACUUGAACUAUAGAUAUUAUCUCUUCUAAAUAUUACAAUGUGUGUAAAAAUCAUAGAAAUGGUGUUUUGCCAUGUGUACCGCGAAAAGUGCCUCCCCAAGGCUUUUGCUAAGAUCUUAAAGUGGUACUCAUAUACUCAAUGAAAAUAAUGGAAAAAUUCCCUCCAAUAAUUGAUA